rnacentral:lncRNA from 1 species
UCUUCAAGAGUUGAUCAUUCCCAUGCCCUGGACAUCACUGUGCAUGAGCUGAUCUUAGAAUUUGGUUGUAUAAGUCUCCUCUGAAAUGCCACAAUGGAAGAUACUAAGUCUGCAGGAAAUUCCACACCACUAAAUCUGGACAGACAAGGUAAUUUAGCUCUCUGUAGGCUGAAAAGAAAAGGAGACCUCUGCACCAAGAUUGAGUGCUAUUUCCAGGAGGAGGAAGGCCACUGCUCAGUUCCACCUGGUGUCCCCAGGCUUUGGCAAGCAGGUGUUCAGCCAUAAUUGUCAUGCAUACCCAUAUGUAGUCCACUGGUGUGCACUCUGCUCUCCUCUCUCUGACAGCAGGCCUAUUAGGUGCUGAGCCUCAUUCUCCUCCAGGAUGGAUGCAGGCCAGCCCACCUUCCCCAACAUUCUACUCAAGACAAACCUCUGAAGCAGAUGUUUAUCAUGAUCUGCAUUUGUAUAUAUGUUGGAGGAAGCAUGCUGUGGAGGAUGGGGGUCUUGCAGUUGUUGCAGCUUGGGCAAGGCCAUUUUGGAGACCAGCUGUGGGAGGUGCAUACAUUCCAGCUGUGUUGUCACCUGUGUUGUCAUGCCUCCAGGUGCAGGUCAGGGGGAGGUUAGAGGCAAGAGUCUCUUGGAUAUUCCUGAUCCCUACUCGUAGUAAAGAUUUAAACUGAUAUGCUGAAUCUCCAAAAUAAUUUGGCUGUGUGAAUUGCCCAUGGUCUUUGCCUUGAUUCCCCCCCCCCCCGCCCGCCCCUUCUCUGGCAUUUUCUCUUUCUAAUCACAAUGUAAGAACCAUUUAGCUGCUGAUUCUCGCCCUGUCUCCUCUUUUCCACAGCAUUAGCCAGCUGGCCCUGGAGAUUCCACAGGGAAGAAAGUGCAGCCCAGGUCUGAAUGAACCUCUUGCUGGCUUUGAGGGACCAUGAUCACAUGAGAAUUCUGACUGUUACUACAAGAGAAAAUAAGCAUCAGACUGAUCCCAGACAUACCAUUAUAAUCUUUACCAGGUCUAGGGUAGGUCUUUUUUAACCUCCAAAAGGGGUAUCCAAUUUUCACUCUUUUGAGAUCUUCCUGUUCUUUUCAGCCUUCCCCUAACACACAUCCUCUUCUACCAACACAGCUUACUUUGCAAAUUCUGAAGUUCUGGUGAAGGCAGGCUUCCUACUGCUUUGGAAUUGGAGUUGACUAUGCUCAAAAUCAUAUAUGAAACAAGAGGAACUGAAAGAACAUAGAACUGUAAAACUGGACUUCAGUACCGAGCUCUGAAAUUGGAGCAAGUUCCCUAACUUCUCUCAGCCCCAGGCCCAUCACACAUAAUUCUUCUACCACUGAGGUAUGGGGAAGACUAUAGAGAUCAUGUUCAUGAGACAUCUCCCAUGGUGCCUGACACCUACAAGAACUCCACUUAAGGAUAGUAGGAUUGAAUAGAGUUGUGUUAAAGAAUGAGCUGAGGGAAUAUGUUGGGGUAUGGGGGGCCAAUAAGAAACACUAAAAUGAUAGAACAAAAGACAAAUUUUCUGCCAAAAAAAAAAAAAAUGGACUGGCUUUUCUGGGUAAAGUGUAGUUUUUCUCAGUCAGCAAGGCAUAUAGCUGCAGUAACAACUUCUUCCACUGUAUGAACUACUCAGUUCAAAAUGUAGCUUAGAAUUGCAGUGCAAAUGGAAAAUAUAUAGUGAAAUGGUUUUCUUUAUUUUAUACUAAUAAAGGUUUUAGAAGGUAUAGCCAGCAGAAAACACGAACACAAUUGCAUUUUUUUGUUGUUGUUGUUGUUAUCAGAGACAACCCAUGAUAAUAUCCUGAUAUUUUCCCCUCUACAGUGCUGAGAACCCAGGACAUUGUGCAUUCUAGACAAGUACUCUACCACUGAGCUAUACCCCCAGCCCUGCCAUCCUGAUUUCUUUGCUUAAGUUUCCUCUGACCACUCUACAGAGUUCUCUAUGACCCAGAUCUUGCCCCCGGAAGACAUUUCACUUCAUUCCUUCAUAGAAUAUGUCAUAUAAUCAUUUGUCCUCCUGCCCCAUUCUACAGGCAUCCACCUCAUGCAUUCAUUCUUUCUGUCUUUCCCCCAAAUACUUGUCAAGAUUAUGUUUUAUAUUUUUAAGUAAUGUAUUUCAACAUGCAUGAUUUCAAAUUAGGAAUUAUAUGCUUUCCUUUAAGUAAGAAUUUCUCAAUAGAACUAAUUAUACAAUUAUGUCUGCUUUGUAAAAGAGAAAUCAUAAAGAAAUGAGAUCAUAUUUCUAGGGAAAUAACAAGUCAAAAUUCACAUGCAUGCAAUUCUACUUUGAUUUGCUUGGCGUAUGACCAACUGUGGUUCAAAAACAUUCUUGCUUAUUCUUAAACCAGUGUUUUAUUGUUUUCAAAUAAAUAAAACAAAGGGAAAGUUGAUUUAACUAUGGGGGAAAUUAUUUAAGCAAGUGGAAAUGGAAUGAGAAAAGCAAGUAGAACUAAAACACAGCAAAUCUUAUUUCAAAGUUCUGAUGUGCACCAAACAUCAAUAUUUUUCCAUUGCACAAAUAUGUUUGUGAUGCUGAAAUUUCCUUCUUGGUUAAUGAUGUUUAAGUGAAACAAAUAAAGUAUUGCUGCCAUCAUCAUCUGACAUUGCUGA